AGCAUGCAAGUCAAACGGGAUGUAGCAAUGCAUCUAGUGGCGAACGGGUGAGUAACGCGUGGAUGAUCUACCUAUGAGAUGGGGAUAACUAUUAGAAAUAGUAGCUAAUACCGAAUAAGGUCAAUUAAUUUGUUAAUUGAUGAAAGGAAGCCUUUAAAGCUUCGCUUGUAGAUGAGUCUGCGUCUUAUUAGUUAGUUGGUGGGGUAAAUGCCUACCAAGGCGAUGAUAAGUAACCGGCCUGAGAGGGUGAACGGUCACACUGGAACUGAGACACGGUCCAGACUCCUACGGGAGGCAGCAGCUAAGAAUCUUCCGCAAUGGGCGAAAGCCUGACGGAGCGACACUGCGUGAAUGAAGAAGGUCGAAAGAUUGUAAAAUUCUUUUAUAAAUGAGGAAUAAGCUUUGUAGGAAAUGGCAAAGUGAUGACGUUAAUUUAUGAAUAAGCCCCGGCUAAUUACGUGCCAGCAGCCGCGGUAAUACG
rnacentral:rRNA from 1 species